rnacentral:rRNA from 1 species
GACGAACGCUGGCGGCGCGCCUAAUACAUGCAAGUCGAACGGGUACCUCUUCGGAGGUGCUAGUGGCGGACGGGUGAGUAACACGUGGGCGACCUGCCUUUGAGUGGGGAAUAACGCUGGGAAACCAGCGCUAAUACCGCAUACGCUCUCCCUUUCAUUAAGGAGAGGAAAGCUUAAUGCGCUCAAAGAGGGGCCUGCGGCGGAUUAGCUAGUCGGUGGGGUAACGGCCUACCGAGGCAUCGAUCCGUAGCUGGUCUGAGAGGAUGAUCAGCCACACUGGGACUGAGACACGGCCCAGACUCCUACGGGAGGCAGCAGUAAGGAAUCUUCCACAAUGGGGCAACCCUGAUGGAGCGACGCCGCGUGGACGAAGAAGCUUCUCGGAGUGUAAAGUCCUUUUCCCGCAGAUGAGAGGGACAGUAUGCGGGGAAUAAGCCACGGCUAACUACGUGCCAGC